AUCCAAGGUGAAGAAAUCUUUCUCCCUGUCCAUCCAACGGUUCAGAUCCGACCCGGACGAUUCAUUCCCUCUCUCACCUUUAACCAAUACCCUCCAUUCUCCAUUAUACACAACCCACGCCUCAGAUCCACCCUCUGUAAACAAUUUUGGAUCAGCAAAUGCUUCUGAGAAGUGCGUCAACGCCGAUACUCAACUCAUGGCUCCCUCACUCUACCUCCAAGGAACCUUCUCCUGAACCAGAAACGGUGCACCAAGUCCCCAGAACCCGCCCCAUCACCCUCUCGGCUUCUUAUUCGAGCCCGUUUCACUUGUCCUCGACCGAUGAUUCCAUGAACAAGAUGACCAGGGCGCUCUCCGACACUGAUAUUCCUGCCCUCUCGAUAACGAGGAAGAAACCCACUAACAGAAUCCUCGGCGGGGUUUCAGUACAGGAGAAAGAUGAGGAAAAAGAGUGUGGAUCUGAGUUGCCAGAAACAGCGUCAUUGAGUUGUGGCUUGCCCCUGGGUGUUUCGUUCGAGAAAAGUCGUGAGGUUUUGGCUGGGUGUGGGAUCGGUGGAUGCGGGGGAGGAUCUUACGGUGGAGAUGACGAUGGGAACUGGGGGUGCUGGGAUUCAAAUAAUGAGAAUGAUAGUAUGGAUGCGUACUAUCGGAAGAUGAUCGAGGCUAAUCCAGGGGACGCGCUUGUUCUUAGCAAUUAUGCCAGAUUCUUGAAAGAGGUCCAGGAGGACUUUACGAAGGCUGAGGAAUAUUAUGGGCGUGCGAUUUUGGCUAAUCCGGAGGAUGCAAAUGCUCUAUCAAUGUAUGCAGAAUUAAUAUGGCAGAUUCACAAAGAUGCUCCUCGUGCUGAGACUUAUUUUGAUCAAGCUGUAAAAGCAGCCCCUGCCGACAGUUAUGUACUAGCAUCUUAUGCUCGAUAUCUUUGGGAUGCUGAAGAAGAAGAUGAAGAUGGAGAAGGAAAAAAAGAAACAAAGCAGAUGAACCAACAUGGUCUUUUUCAUGGAGCUCUGCCUUUAGCCGCUUCUUGAGCUUUCAUUGUGUAAGCCAAGUUAUAUGAUUUCAUCAAGAUGACACAGUUGACUGCGGGGACAACGAAAUUUGCAUACGUUUUAGAGUUCGGAGGAUUGAAAUGGAGAGCGAUAAAAGAGGUAGAAAGGCCACUUGGUGCUUCUUCAAUGUUUUCCCUCUUGUUAGAAGAAAAUAAGCUUCAAUAAGUGAGGUGUCCCCCUUUUUCUUCCAGCCAAGGAGGUAGUGGAAGAGGGAAUUCUCUGUUAAGAAGACCUUAUCCCAUCAGCAAGCCAAAGAUGACAAGUAAGCAAACUCGUCCAGGUCAUACAAAUGUCCCAGUCAGCAUGCCAACUCAGUCAUCAGCUCACGAUAAACCACGCGUGUUCGACAACUGGCUCACAAUCGUCCCUUCCUGCAUAACAUUGAUCUUCUUCCUUUAUUCUCUGCAUUUUUCGUUGUGAUCCUCUGUAAUUUAUUUCUCUUUGUUU